UACCCUUGACAUGUCUGGGAAUGCCGAAGAGAUUUGGCAGUGCUCGCAAGAGAACCGGAACACAGGUGCUGCAUGGCUGUCGUCAGCUCGUGUCGUGAGAUGUUGGGUUAAGUCCCGCAACGAGCGCAACCCUUGUCAUUAGUUGCUACGAAAGGGCACUCUAAUGAGACUGCCGGUGACAAACCGGAGGAAGGUGGGGAUGACGUCAAGUCCUCAUGGCCCUUAUGGGUAGGGCUUCACACGUCAUACAAUGGUCGGGACAGAGGGCUGCCAACCCGCAAGGGGGAGCCAAUCCCAGAAACCCGAUCGUAGUCCGGAUCGCAGUCUGCAACUCGACUGCGUGAAGUCGGAAUCGCUAGUAAUCGCGGAUCAGCAUGUCGCGGUGAAUACGUUCCCGGGUCUUGUACACACCGCCCGUCACACCAUGGGAGUGGGUUUUACCAGAAGUAGUUAGCCUAACCGCAAGGGGGGCGAUUACCACGGUAGGAUUCAUGACUGGGGUGAAGUCGUAACAAGGUAAGCGUAGCGAG
rnacentral:rRNA from 1 species